rnacentral:rRNA from 1 species
UACAGAGGGGCAAGCGUUGUUCGGAAUUACUGGGCGUAAAGGGCGCGUAGGCGGCCUUCGUAAGUCGAACGUGAAAUCCCGUGGCCGUCAACCCAGGAACUGCGUCCGAGUACUGGGAGGCUAGGAAUCCGGGAGAGGGAUGUGGAAUUCCAGGGUGUAGCGGUGAAAUGACGUAGAUAUCUGGAGGAACAUCGGGUGGCGAAGGGCGGCAU